rnacentral:rRNA from 1 species
GUAACGCGUGAGCAACCUGCCUCUCAGAGGGGGAUAACGUUUUGAAAAGAACGCUAAUACCGCAUAACAUAUCGGAACCGCAUGAUUCUGAUAUCAAAGGAGCAAUCCGCUGAGAGAUGGGCUCGCGUCCGAUUAGUUAGUUGGUGAGGUAACGGCUCACCAAGACUACGAUCGGUAGCCGGACUGAGAGGUUGGUCGGCCACAUUGGGACUGAGACACGGCCCAGACUCCUACGGGAGGCAGCAGUGGGGGAUAUUGCGCAAUGGGGGAAACCCUGACGCAGCAACGCCGCGUGAAGGAAGAAGGUCUUCGGAUUGUAAACUUCUUUUGUCAGGGACGAAGAAAGUGACGGUACCUGACGAAUAAGCUCCGGCUAACUACGUGCCAGCAGCCGCGGUAAUACGUAGGGAGCGAGCGUUGUCCGGAUUUACUGGGUGUAAAGGGUGCGUAGGCGGCCGAGCAAGUCAGUUGUGAAAACUAUGGGCUUAACCCAUAACGUGCAAUUGAAACUGUCCGGCUUGAGUGAAGUAGAGGUAGGCGGAAUUCCCGGUGUAGCGGUGAAAUGCGUAGAGAUCGGGAGGAAC